AUUGAACGCUGGCGGCAUGCCUUACACAUGCAAGUCGAACGGUAACAGGUCUUCGGACGCUGACGAGUGGCGAACGGGUGAGUAAUACAUCGGAACGUGCCCAGUCGUGGGGGAUAACUACUCGAAAGAGUAGCUAAUACCGCAUACGAUCUGAGGAUGAAAGCGGGGGACCUUCGGGCCUCGCGCGAUUGGAGCGGCCGAUGGCAGAUUAGGUAGUUGGUGGGAUAAAAGCUAACCAAGCCGACGAUCUGUAGCUGGUCUGAGAGGACGACCAGCCACACUGGGACUGAGACACGGCCCAGACUCCUACGGGAGGCAGCAGUGGGGAAUGUUGGACAAUGGGCGAAAGCCUGAUCCAGCAAUGCCGCGUGCAGGAUGAAGGCCUUCGGGUUGUAAACUGCUUUUGUACGGAACGAAAAAGCUCCUUCUAAUACAGGGGGCCCAUGACGGUACCGUAAGAAUAAGCACCGGCUAACUACGUGCCAGCCGCCGCCGUAAGAC
rnacentral:rRNA from 1 species